AUAUAAAGCGCCAAACAGAGACGAUGUGCAGCAAAGAAUUUAACAGAUCUAAGGACUAUUUGUGUUGAGGAUAAGCAAAACAUGUUAUCUGAAGUUGCUAACAACAAAUGUGACGCUAGCACCCAAACAUCCCAAAAUCGAGCGAAACCAACACCCAGAGUGGAGGCAUUGUCGAACAAAGUAAAUAUUCUGGAGAAGCGUUUAAAAUGUCGGGAUACAAAGAUGGGUGUUAUGGAAGCAAUAAUAAAAACCUUGAAGGAUAA